rnacentral:misc_RNA from 1 species
GGCAUCUCCUAUAAGUAGGAGAGGUAAAAUGCAGAGUUUUCAAGAUUCUAGUGCCAGUGAGCAACUAAGGUUAGACAAGCACACGUAUUAUGCAAAUUGAAACAUCAAAACAAUCUUACAAUCAGGUCAAAAGACAUUAAGGAUUACAUUCAAGCCAUGUGGAAUUAAGGUGGACUCAACUGCGGCUUAAAGAAAAAAAAAAAAAACUGAAAGAAAGAAGAAAGGUGGAGGAACAUGCAUGAUUCAUCCUGAAACUGACCUGUCGAGAUUAUCUAGCAGCAUCAAUUUUCAGUUGCGAGAACACCCUACUAGCCAUUGUAAUUCUACUAUCAUCACCUCCUGGAAAUGAAUCGUCUUCUUCAGCUGGCACUAAUGAGAUGGAAGGUGCUGCACAACUUGUGGUGCCAAUUCCGGAGCAGAACUGUUCAUGCUGUCAUCAUCUACAUCUCUAUGCAUUGAAGUUAGUUGAAGCCGCAAUGCAAAUUCUAAGUCCCACAAAACAUCAUGCAUCAUAGGCCUCUCCGCGCUAUUAGGCCUCAAACAUUUCUCAGCAGUUUCGCCAAAUUUUUGCAAUGAACUGGAGUUAAUGCUAUCUACCAGAACAGGAUCAAUAAUUUUCUCAAGCUGGCCUUUCUUUUGCCAAAGCAUCCCCCAUUCUGCUAAGUUCACCUCCUCCCUCCGAUCGGUGGUCAUAAUAGCUGGUCUGGCACAAAGCACCUCAAGAAGUACCACUCCGAAAGAGUACACAUCAGAUUUUUCAGUCAAUUGUAGAGACAUAAAAUAUUCAGGAUCUAGAUAACCAAAGCUGCGUUUUGUGCCUGUGUUUUCGUCUGAAUCCAGAUGAACUAACUUAGAAAGACCAAAAUCAGCAACUUUAGCUAUAUAAUCUUCAUUAAGCAGGAUGUUUGCUGACUUAACAGCACAGUGUAUGAUUCUCCUUGCCAAGCCAGUAUGCAGAUAAUGAAGUCCCUUUGCAGAAUCAAUGCAAAUUUUAAGUCUUUGCUCCCAGGAAAGUUCAGAUCGUGAAGUAGAUUUUUCAGAAUCGGCAUCUGAAAUGUAAAGAUGAUCUCUCAGAGUGCCCUUUUCCAUAAAUUCGUAAACCAAUAUCAUUUCAGACCUCUCAUCACAAUAUCCAAUCAAGGAAACAAGAUGAUCGUGGCGAAUUUGGGAUAAAACCAUGAUCUCAGUUUGGAAUUCCAACAUACCCUGCCCAUGACCUGGUUCACUUCUUUUAACUGCCACUUUUACACCUUCACUGAGUGUUCCCUUGUAGACUUUCCCAAACAUGCCCUCACCAAUCAGCACUUCUGAAUUGAAGUUCUUCGUUGCACGCUGUAUUUCAACAUAUGGUAUCUUCAAUACCAGUUUCAAGUCAGGAGCAAUGGACACAGUGGCAGUUCUUUUAGACGACCAAUUAUUAGAACUUCCUCUGUAAAGAGACAUAUAAAAUGGCCUACCUGAAGUCCUAUAAGAUUUUGCUCUUCUGGAUUUCAGGAUCACCAGUAAAGCUACUAUUAAGACCACAACAAACAGCACAGCAGCUACUGAACCAAUCAUAAUAGGCUGAGUUUUUUUCUUGGGUUUCUGUAAUUUUUCCAGCAUUUCCAUAAUCUCCAGUCCAUUCAAAAAGGCAUUUUUAGUUUCAGAAUCAUUGCGUUGAUGCACACUUACAUUUAUGAAUCCAGAAUUAUCUGACUCGACAACAAAAUCAAAGUAGAAUGGAGAUGCAAGUAAUCUAGUUAUGUCAUAAGAACUGAUAUUCGUACAGAAGCUGCUAUAAACAUGAAAAUAGAACUUGAGAGCACCAUGUUGAGUACUAACAAUGUCACAAAAGUGUACCCGAACAAGGUGCUGAGAAUUCUUGCUGACUUUGAAACCCCAAGUGAUAUUGGAAUAAUUUGUCUGCUUCAAUUCUUUAGCAGUGAUAUAUACAUGAGCAGGAGCAACAUAGUCAGUAUUCUGCGGACCGGUAAUCAGUGGGCCUUCAAAGAGAAAACUGUUCUUUGCAGUUUCAGGGUAAGUCAAGAAAUCAUCGUCAGGUAUCCAAUUUCUCCACAGCCUAUCGUUAUCUGCUGUGAGGUUGGAACCUCCAACAUUGAUCCUGUAGGUAGUAUGCAACCCCUGAGAGAGCAACCCACUGAAAUUUCCUUUCAUUCCUGCAGCAGUGAUUUGAGUUGCAUUAUCAGGAAUGAAGCUUUCUGGGGCAAGAAAGACUUCUAUAGCAUUUACAAAAGCCAAAGAAGAUUUAUGGGAAGGUAUGAAGUCAAUAACAAAUUUUCCCCUAUCCAAGGUGAGCAAGAAUUCCUCAAUCUUUGGCGAAUCACUUAGUAAGACACUAAAAUCUGAUAGCAAUAGAAACCCAAAAGCCUGGACAUUGAAUAGAGCGCCAGCGAGAUUAGCAUCUGGAGAUGAGAAAGCAAAGAAAUGGAGUCUUAUUAUAUAUGUGCCUCUCUCAUCGAUGUCAAAGUGAUAUGAAGAUGAUUUGUGGAAAACUCUUGCGGUUUGAUACGGUGAAGUAUUUUUUGAUUGGCUGUUGUCCUUGACAGCUUUGCUUGAACCAACCCAGUAAGAGAGGUCGCCAACAAAAGGUCCAUGCGUUUCAAGACUGGCGGAGGACUCUGAUCCACAAUUAAUGAAGUACUUAUCAGGAAGAGUGUAAGCUGAGGUGGUAAGAACAAGAAAACAGAACUGAAUGGUUAGGAUAGGAAAUAGAAUGAAAAGAAUCUGGCAAGGCUGAAGCUUCUCCAUCCAAAAUUUGUGAUUGGUGCAGCUUUUUUCAACCAGAGUGAAGCCAAUCAGCAUCUAGGAGGGGAAAAAGAAAAAGCUGGUGAUAAGCAAUCAAGCAUAUCCUUACAAAAGUAAAGUUGUUAAAGAAAGACUAAGACCUCAUUUUGGUGGUUGGAUUAUCUGUACUCCUUGAAAUUUUGGGUAGAAACGCUACUGACGCAUACACUGUUUCACACUCACAUUAUAAGAUGGACAUCAGUGGCAGAUUGCUUUUUGACAAAAUUAUUAGCCUAACAUUAUUAAGCAACAUUAUAAUAAUCUGCAAAAGCACACGCUAAAGGAUGAAGUCUAGAACCUGGCCAAUGCGAGCAAAGCUCAAAUGGUCAUGACUUGGUGACCUCAACAGUGGCUCGCGGAGAAACUGAAACGCCAAGUUAUAUUCAGCAAAUCUGCUGCAAGUUCUGUAAAAAAGAUCAUUAUAAAAAACCCAAGGUUUUGCAGGAGUUGAGGAAAUUACAUAACCAUCAUCUUGCAUCCAAUUCCUCCAAAGGAAGCCAUUACCCUCCUUAAUCUCUGGACCUCCAACAUUGAUCCUUUGAAUUGUUUGUAGAGCCUCUGAUAGUAAACCAUAGUAAAAUCCAUUUUUAUUUGUUACAGCAACAGCCAUAACAACAAUUUGCUGUUUUGGACUCUGUAAACUCUAGCUGUUUGAUAGAUAGGAGAUGCGUUUGGUGAAGGGCUACUGUUACAUAUAGCAUCACUCACCAUUCCCUGUUGCGAAGAAAAGUCAAAAUUGAUGUCUCCAAUAAAGGUCCUGCCAGCAACUUUAACACUGGAGUCUGAUCCACAGUUGAUGAAGUACCUAACACUGUAAGCUGAUGAAAAGAGAAGAAGAUAGAGAGGGAGAGCUUGUUGUCGAUG